GAGCUCAUAUAGGAACUUCCCAGAAACUGCUGUCCAAGUACAACCGCAGACAAUUGACAGACAAGUUUCUGAUAUUCCUGGCUCUAGUCUUCUUCACUGCAACUGUGUUGUAUAUUAUUAAAAAGAGAUUGUGGUGAAAGCAUGUGCAAUAUGAAAAGUUAUUAGACAUUUUUUCCAAAUAUUUGCCUAUCAUAAUGUAUUGUUCAAAAUGGAUGAAAGGGAUAUGAACUAUACAUAAACAACUGAUAUAUCAGAAUGAAUAUUAUAUAAUAUAAAUAGAAUUUUAAAACAAAUUUGUGCAAUUAGCAAUGUUAGGAAAUAUCCAUGUAAUUUAUUGGAAAAUGUGUUAAGAGAAAUACAUGUGCAUGCAUGCCUGUAAUUUAAAUGAAUACGGUCAACAUGUAUUUAUUACUAGAAUUCACAAAAAACUAUUUAUUUCUUAUUUAUGAUGAACAUUGAUUCUGCUUUGACUUUAGGAUUGUGAGAUGUAUGAAGACAAAUUUUGUUGACAAAUGUUACAUGUAUAUUGGUAAGGUGAGACUUUAAAUUGUUUAAAAUGAAGCUUUGAAAAUUAAUAUUAAGAAUAAAGCUUUCGAAAAUG
rnacentral:misc_RNA from 1 species